AAGCCAUCGGCUGCGUUUGUGAGCAAAUAAGUUCUCAUUGCCACACAAAGCCUUCAGAUAAAAUUACCUUUCUGUAACUAUAAAUUUUUUUUACUCUUCACUAAAUCUGAAUGAACAAGCAGCUAUCUCAUUCUAACUUAGUCUUUAGUGUAUUGGUUCUGUCUUUCUCUUUGCAGCUGUCAGGGUGCGUUAGGGCGCACAAAGGCACGAGCAGAUGGAUAUCAGAAAGUGCCUCUAAUGACUGCUAGCGAUUUACAAAGAGAAUCAGCAGCUAAAAGAGACUAGAUGAUCCUAACAGGAAGAUGGAAAUCACUGCUAAGAGGAGCAUCUUUUAUAGCAGGUAGAGCUAGCUAAAAACAGCAGCGGUUUAACUAUAAGAUUCAAUCUAUACAUUGUGUAAAGAUGAAUAGAAUCCUCAUCAUCUUCAUACUGGUCGGAUUGUUUAGCAGCUAAUAGACAUUAUCUGAUGGAUUGAUGGUAGUAGCAGAAGACACCAAGCGUCGUCGUGCGUGAUCAAAAUGCAGGGAAAGCCUGGGGGCCUUUGCCCGUCUACCUCUCUAAGAAAAACUUCCCUAUCCAGCC
rnacentral:sRNA from 1 species